GUGAAGGACCGAACCCGUGUAUGUGGCAAAAUACUGGGAUGAUUUGAGUUUAGGGGUGAAAGGCUAAUCAAACUUGGAGAUAGCUGGUUUUCUGCGAAAUCUAUAUAAGUAGAGCGUUUUUGAAUUUAGCCUUGGGGUAGAGCACUGUUUAAACAAUGGGAGUGGUAUCAUUUUACUGAGUUUUAGCAAACUCCGAAUACGAGAGCAAUUCAGAAGCAGACAGACUUUGGGUGCGAAGAUCCAUUGUCGAAAGGGAAACAGCCCAGAUUAUUGAUUAAGGUCCAUAAAAAAAGUUAAGUGUUUAAGGUAGUCUUUGCUUUUUGACAGCCAGAAGAUAGGCUUGGAAGCAGCCAUUCUUUAAAGAAAGCGUA
rnacentral:rRNA from 12 species